rnacentral:misc_RNA from 1 species
GAUGAAGAACGCAGCGAAAUGCGAUAAGUAAUGUGAAUUGCAGAAUUCAGUGAAUCAUCGAAUCUUUGAACGCACAUUGCGCCCCCUGGUAUUCCGGGGGGCAUGCCUGUCCGAGCGUCAUUACAACCCUCAAGCUCAGCUUGGUGUUGGGCCCCGCCGCCCCGGCGGGCCCUAAAGUCAGUGGCGGUGCCGUCCGGCUCCGAGCGUAGUAAUUCUUCUCGCUCUGGAGGUCCGGUCGUGUGCUCGCCAGCAACCCCCAAUUUUUUUCAGGUUGACCUCGGACCAGGUAGGGAUACCCGCUGAACUUAAGCAUAUCAAUAAGCGGAGGA